rnacentral:lncRNA from 1 species
UAUAGAAACUGAGGAUUCAUAUGUGUAUGUAUAUAGAUACAGAUAUAGAUGAAUGCAUGUCUGCGAAAAUAUAGUGAAUAACAAAUAUAUAAUUUUAUAAAGUUCAAUUUUAAUAUAUUAUUAUUAUAAAAGUCAUGAUAUUUUCAAAUAUAUCCCUGUCGGUAGUAUCAAUUAGAAAAUUUUAAUUAAUCAUGGCUAGUUUUUUUUUUAUCUUUUUAUUCUUCUUAUAUCGUACUGUUAUAAUUUUCGGAGGGACAUAUUUGUGAUGGCAAAAUUGAAAAAUAUAAACAGUUUUCUAACGAUAAUAAAUAAGAGGGACAUAUUUGGUAAUAUUAGAACUUUUGUAAAGACAACAUAUAAAAGUUGAACUUUAUAGGAAUAUAUUUGUCAUUUAUUAUAUUUGCAGGGACAUGUAUAAUUUUUUUUUUUUCUAAAAGGAGAUAUGUGAUUGACUUAGUAUUGUUUUUUUUUUUUUUUUUUUUUNUUUAUUGAGAGAUAGGUAGCAUGCUACCCGCUUCGUUUAUUUCAUUUAGAAAUAAGUUUAGCUGGAAAUGUAAAUCAACUAGGAUUCGAACUUGGGUCGCGGGUACCAACCACCAAGCCCUUUGCCACUUGCUCUAGGGACAGUCGGUUUGACUUCGUAUUGUUGAUGUGGUGCAAGUGCGAUACAAUAAACUUUCUCUGAAAGUGCAUGGUAUGUAGGGAUGUAAAUUGUUAUGAAUAUCUGAAAUUUUAUUAACCUGUAUUUAAAUAGAGCGAGUUCCUAUAAUAAAUAUAUAUAAUUUCGAAUACAGAUCGAAAGAACGAGAAUUUGAAGGAUUUGGAUUCGGAUAUGAAUUUGUCUGUGUUCGACCCGUAUCCGAACUCGAACCUAAGCAGAAUUGAUUUUACAUUAUAUAAUAUCACUAUAACAAAAACGGUAUAUAACGAUAUUUUUAAAUGUCGGUAAGAGUUAAAAAAGUGCUACUGACUAAAUUACUGACACUUUUGAAAAGUGUUGCUAUAUGUGGGGUCGCUAGGUAUAUAGUGACAGUUAAAUAGUAUUGGUAUAAUCUAAAAAGAGUGCUGCUAAUUUAUCAACACUUAUUUAAACAUUUAGCAACUGCCGGAACUCUAUCUCGUUGACUGCGGUAGCAAAGGAGGAGGAGAGGAAAGGGCUCUUCGUCUAGAAUUUCAAUAGAUUGAGUGAAAGGAGAAGGGGAGAUGAUAAUCGAUUUUUUUUUUUUUUUUUUUUUUUUUUUUUUUUUUGUAAUCGGGCCGAAUGAGCUGGGUUGGAUGGAUUGAGUAAAGUAACAUUUUAUUUUUGAUUGGAUUGUGUUUUAUAUUUAGGCAUUAAUAUAUUUUUAAAAAAAAUUUGGCAUAAAUGGAACACUUAUAUAAAAGUGUUCAAAACAUAUAUCCUUAUAACUUAAUUCUGUUGUAGUGUAUAUAAAUAUUUGAUAUUAUAUUUAAAUUUAUACUUCAAAAUUUUAGAUUUAGUGUAAUAUGUUUUGAAACAGGAUAAAGAAAAAUGAUUGCUUAUGAGUUCGGAUUUUAGAUAUUUGGUUAGGUUUUUAAAAUUCGUUGGAUUCGGAUUUAGGUUUGAGUUUGAGUUUCAUGUUUGAUAAUCGGAUUC